UGCCAAGUCAGCAUGACUGGACCCUAGCAGUCCCUCUCUUCCUCCUUCGGACCCUGCUUAUUUCUGUAAGCCCAUAGGUCACUUUCCCCUGACCCUUACUAUUGGACAGUUUUCAAAACCCCUGUAGGGUAUAAAAACCCCUGAUUCUGCCUGGUUUGGCAGAAGAGCUGUCACUGGGAACCUUUGCAGAACACCCCAAUAAAGAACCCUGCGGAACCCCACACGGCCUUCUCCUCUCUCUCCCUGCGUCUGCUGCUGCAGCACCUAGCAAGCUAAAGAGCUGAAAUCACUGAGCUGAUAAUCACUAAGAGCUGAAAAUCACAAGCUUGCUUAGGUGGCCUGAGCUCCCGCUGAGUUAUCCUGGCUCCGGCACCCACACUGGGCACAGCCCGGUAGGGAGCUGCCAUAAUACAUCCAAUCUUCAUAAUUAUUCCCACUGAAAGGACAGAAGAGAUGCAAUGGCUAUGCCACAGUGAGGAGUGGAACAGACCAAAGGACAGAGGUAGCUGGAAUACUUCACAUAAAUGACACUCUUCUCUGCUGGAGACAGCAGGUUGUCCUCUGUCUUGAACUGUCUCUUAUCUCACUGGAUCCCAAAACGCUGGAACACAUACCUGCCAAACUAUUACUGCUACCAGGAGCUAUUUCUGCUGAAAAUCUGAAUAACAUAAUCACAGAAGAGUGAGGGUUGAAAGGGACUUCUGGAGAUCAUCUAGGCCAACCCCCCUGCCAAGGUAGGGUCACCUACAGCAGAUGUGAAGCAACACAUCCAGAGCAAUGGCUACUUGUGCUGAAGUCCUGCUUCCCAGGAAGUGGCCUGAUAUUACUUGCUGAUGCGACAUAGUGAAUAAAAUCUUGGUCUUUUUCCUUGGCUUGUGUGCAGGAAACCUUUUGCUUUUGCUUAAGUAAAAUGCUCUCAACCCACAAAUUGUCUUCCAUCUUAUUCUCUGUCCCCUGUCCAGCUGAGGAGGGGGAGAGAUAAAGUAGUUGGUGGCUACCUGGCAUCUAGCCAAAGUCAAGACACCACAGCUCUUUUUGGCUUCCAAUAUGAGUCAAGAUAAUGACAGUUUUUUAUCAUGCAUGAUAUCAUUAUAAUGGCUGUUAUGUAGCAAGCUCCCCUACAGAACACUAAGUUUGUGAAGUUUAGGAACACGUUUACACAAACAAUGACUUUGUCCUUUGCCCUUACAUGGAUGGCUUCGCCAUGCUGGGGAAGUCUUGAGGGAAUGAUAAGGGAAUACAUCUCCCUUUCUCUGACCAUGAUUUAUAUGGAUGAUUUUAUUAUGCAAGCUCCCGCAGUCCUUGUUCAUCCCUACAGUGAACUGUUUAAAACUAAUAAUUAAUAAUACUAGCAUAUUAUGGGAUUUGUGUAAUCUUGUGUCGUCCUGAUAUAAGGGAAAACAGAAGAUGCAACAGUUAAAUGUGCUCAAGAGCUGCUUGCCAGGAAAUGCCCAGACAUCAGUUGUUGCUGGCAAGUAGAAAAUAAUAUGUGUCCUUUUCCUCAGCUUGCAUGCAACCUUUUGCUUUUGCUUCAGUAAACUACCUUAUUUUAACCUACUGGUUGUUUUCCGUCUUACUUUUUCUCCUCUUUUCAGGGGAGAGAAAAAGUGAAAAUGGGGACUGACAAAGUGGCAUCCAGCAAAGGUCAA